rnacentral:rRNA from 1 species
CCUACGGGUGGCUGCAGUAGGGAAUCUUCCACAAUGGACGCAAGUCUGAUGGAGCAACGCCGCGUGAGUGAAGAAGGGUUUCGGCUCGUAAAGCUCUGUUGUUGGUGAAGAAGGACAGGGGUAGUAACUGACCUUUGUUUGACGGUAAUCAAUUAGAAAGUCACGGCUAACUACGUGCCAGCAGCCGCGGUAAUACGUAGGUGGCAAGCGUUGUCCGGAUUUAUUGGGCGUAAAGCGAGUGCAGGCGGCUCGAUAAGUCUGAUGUGAAAGCCUUCGGCUCAACCGGAGAAUUGCAUCAGAAACUGUCGAGCUUGAGUACAGAAGAGGAGAGUGGAACUCCAUGUGUAGCGGUGAAAUGCGUAGAUAUAUGGAAGAACACCGGUGGCGAAGGCGGCUCUCUGGUCUGUUACUGACGCUGAGGCUCGAAAGCAUGGGUAGCGAACAGGAUUAGAUACCCUUGUAGU